rnacentral:sRNA from 1 species
CCCACCCGGGCCGCCGCCUGCAUACCCAGCCCCCGGUCCCCGCCCUUCCCGGGUCAGGCCGGUGCGGGUGGGCCAGCGGACCGCGGGUGGGCGGGGCGGGCGCCGGGGCCGGGCGGUCGCUAGGUGUGGGAGGCUCCCUGGGCGCGGGCCGGGGCGCGGGGCGCCCGCCUUACACCCCGGCCUGUGGAGGGGUCCCGGGGCCGCAGGGCCGCUGGUGGCGAUCUCUUCUGCGCCACCCCGGACUCUGCGGGGUGUCCGACUAGGCUUCGGCCGUCCUCCCCGGACUGUGCGCUCGGCCUCACUCCGCCGCUCUCCUUGCUUCUCUGCGUCUCGGGGUCUCUGACACUUGGGGUUUCUGCGCCCCGCCCCCGCCCCGCAGACGUGUCCCGGGCGGUUGAGCUCCUCGAGCGGCUCCAGCGCAGCGGGGAGCUGCCGCCGCAGAAGCUGCAGGCCCUCCAGCGAGUUCUGCAGAGCCGCUUCUGCUCCGCUAUCCGAGAGGUGUAUGAACAGCUUUAUGACACGCUGGACAUCACCGGCAGCGCCGAGAUCCGAGCCCAUGCCACAGCCAAGGCCACAGUGGCUGCCUUCACAGCCAGCGAGGGCCACGCACAUCCCAGGGUAGUGGAGCUACCCAAGACGGAUGAGGGCCUAGGCUUCAACAUCAUGGGUGGCAAAGAGCAAAACUCGCCCAUCUACAUCUCCCGGGUCAUCCCAGGGGGUGUGGCUGACCGCCACGGAGGCCUCAAGCGUGGGGAUCAACUGUUGUCGGUGAACGGUGUGAGCGUUGAGGGUGAGCAGCAUGAGAAAGCGGUGGAGCUGCUGAAGGCGGCCCAGGGCUCGGUGAAGCUGGUUGUCCGUUACACGCCGCGAGUGCUGGAGGAGAUGGAGGCCCGGUUCGAGAAGAUGCGCUCUGCCCGCCGGCGCCAACAGCAUCAGAGCUACUCGUCCUUGGAGUCUCGAGGUUGAAACCACAGAUCUGGACGUUCACGUGCACUCUCUUCCUGUACAGUAUUUAUUGUUCCUGGCACUUUAUUUAAAGAUAUUUGACCCUCA